AAUCCCUCUUGCACUGGCCAAUCGGAUCAUUCUCCAACACAGUUCUUACAGUGGCUACUACAUCAGGUGCACUCUCUUCUUCCUGGCAGGAAUAUUUUAGAAGGCUUUACCAAGAAUGUGGAAUUACACUAUGGCUUUAAGAAUUUGGCCAGAAAGAGGUCAGAGGAGGACAGAGCAAACUUCAGAAAUGUAAGCAAAAGACUUUUUCUUGGAUUAUGGAUAUGGUUUCCUGAGCUUCUCAGUGUAACAUCAUCUUCUAACACCAAAUACUAUAAAACAAUCUUCUUGUGUCUUGGUAAAACAUAACCCUGCUUUGUUCUCAUCACAGUGCAUACCACCACCUGGCUUUUUUGUUUUGUGUUGUUUUUACGUUUUAAUUUUCUCUCCUCUCACUGCCUUCCCCAGAAUGUAAGCUCCAAGAUUGCAGAGACCUUGUCUAUCUUAUUCUUUGACUAGAACUGUGUCUCAAACACAGUAAGUAGCUAACAUGUCUUUGUUUAAAUAGAUGAAUCGCCCAGUCUUUAUUUUGCAAUUCAUUCAGAACUUAGAAAAGUUCUAAGAUCUAGAAUUUUGUUUUAUUUCAUGGAGUAUUAGGCUUUCCUCCAUUUGGGUAGUAACAAUAAUAAGGUAAUACUGACAUGAAGUAUUUCACAAAGUUUCCAGAGCUAAAUUUUGACUUAAAAUAUUGCCUUUUCUUUUCUUGGUCUUACUCCAUUAUUGUUAGCCAUAUAGGCAGUUGCUGGUAAGUAACUUCACAACUCUCCGGAAAUGUAUGGCUUAUAAAUAGAUUGCCAUCAUGUUUCUUCAAAAUUAUUUCUUAUUCAUGCUCUAAAUAUUUACCAAUUUACAUAUUUCAUUAUAAGUUACAAUCUCCAUUCUGCUCCUUAAAUGUUUCAACUCAUGCAGAUUUUUAGAUUUAAUCUUCUGUAAGAGAACAUACUUCCUGAGAUUGACUUCUAAGACUUUUGAAGCUGGAAGGAAAUAUUUUUAUUUAAAUGUUGCCGGUAUUCUAUAUGUACCAAUACAAAAAGAUCUUCAAGAUUUGCUAUUAAUUAUAUAUAAGACAACAAGUAGAACAGUAUAUAUACUUUGUUCUCAUUUGUAUUUUGUAUAGUCCUGUAUAUGUUUUCAUUAUGUAGACUAACUCUGAUAGAAGACAACAUAAAACUGGAAAACAUGGUUACCUCUUGGGAAGGGGAUGGGAGGACUGGGGAAAGAGGUGGAAUGGAACGGGAUUGACCUUUUAAUAUUUUUUUUUCUCUUUUAGAGACAAGGUCUUACUCUGCUACCCAAGCUGGAGUGCAAUGGUAUGAUCAUAGCUUACUACAGCAUUGAACUUCUGGAUUCAAGAGAUUCCCCCACGUUGGCCACCCAAGUAGCUGGAACUACAGGCAUGUACCAUCACACCCAGCUUAUAUAUGUAUAUAAUUAUUUUUGGACAUACAGGAUCUCACUACAUUGCCCAAGCUGCUCUCAAACUCCUGGCCUCAAGAUGAUCCUUCUGCUUCUGCCUCUCAAAGUGCUGGGAUUAUAGGCAUAAACCACCAUGCUCAGUCCAAUGUUUUUAAUAUCAGAUACUCUUUAGUAUCUUUAAGAUUUUAUACACUGUGUAUGCAUUAGUUAAUUAUUAAAUUUUAAAGAAGUAAAUUAUAUGGAUAAAAGUAUAUCCACAUAUACCAAUUAAGAGACAAAGAUUAGCAGAACAUAUUAAAAACAUGACUCAAUUA
ensembl:lncRNA novel transcript